rnacentral:lncRNA from 11 species
UAAGGAAAAUAAAAUGUUAUCAAGUUUGAUUUCUAAUUGAUGGUUUUCUAUUUCAGGGCUAACAAAUCUAUGGCUGUUCAGACACUCUGCCCAUAAAUCCCUGUUCAUGGGCACUAGAUCACUCCAAGCAGCUAUGAAAGCUUAUACAAUUUCUACAAUAUCUUUCUCUCAGUCUCAAAGGAUAAAAUCUAGAUGAUGCAUUGGACUGUCAUCCUCCUAGGAAACCAGUAGCCAGGACGAGUCUGAAGAAGUCAAAAUAUCUUUC